UGUGGGCACUAGUGAAGAGCAACGUAUUAAAGUUUGGGGGAGCAAACGGCUUGUGUUGUCUGACUCUUGCCAGAAAAACCUAAGGUAAGAGUCUGAUUAGAGCUUCCUCUCUGGCCAUGGAAGGAACAGUGUGAGCUUCUAGCUUUCAGUGGAGCCAGGAUACUGGCUUUCCCAAGAUCAGCCUUGAGUCACCUCAAAGGAACCUGCCCAGGAGGACUCACUGUGUCACCAUGCCCAUUCUGAAUAGCAGGGUGAGAUGGCUCCAAUGGAAAGAAGCUUGAAUGUGUCUUCAAAUGCUGAAGAUGAGUGAGUGUCACAUGGAAGGUGGACUCACUGUGCCAAUACUAAGAAGAGCAGUGUCUCUAGACACCCCACUGAGAUGCCCAAGGAGGAAGAGAGCGAGCAUGUGGGCCAUGCAUGGAGCCAACCCCAGACACAUCACCAAUAGAAGGCAUUGUCCUUUUCUUCUAUUCAUUCCUUGGUCUCUGGGGAGACCAAAAUAGAAAGAAAAGAAACUAUCAUGUCACCCUUCCCUCUACAGGGAAUGCAGAAUCUCAUCACCUGCAACCCACCACACUGCAAGAUCCUCCCUCCAACCUAUGAGUGCUAUUCCUGGGCAUGCAGCAAGAUCAUAUUUCCCAACAGCCCUUGAGGUGAAGCUGGCUUCCAAUGCCCAACUUCUGGGCAAUGGGAUAUAGGUGAGAAUGAUAGGGGGACAUUUCCAGGCCUUGCCAUAAAGUUCCCUCACUAUUCUCCCUCUCCUCCCAGGGUGGUCAUGGAAGACACAGGUUGAAGAUGGCAGAGCCACAAGAUGGAAGGAGCCUGGAUCUCUGAGUCACUACUCAGAAGUGAACUGCCCUACCCACUGUGGACAUAGAGUAGCAUUUCGUGGUGUGGACAUACCACAUCUUGCUUAGCCAUCGCUGCAAGACAUUUUGGUCAUUUCCACUGUUGGAACAAAGAGAGUUAAGGAAAGAAAGCCACCAUGAACAACCAUACCCAGGUUCUCUGUGGACAUGCUUCAUUUUUCUGAGAUAAAUGCCCAGGAAUGUGAUUGCUGAGUUGCACAGAUAAAAAACAACAACAACCACAACUUUGCUUAGCAUCUGUUAGCCUUCCUCACCCACCUUGAAGAAAAGGGAAAUUUAUCCAGAAGUAAUAGAUCCAAAGAUGGCAGAGGUGAACCAGGCCCUCAUGGCUACCCACCUGCUUUGUGCUUUUUCAGAGGCUAAUCCUUGUGUUUAAAGAAGAUAUUCUGCCUUGAUUAAAACCAUUGGCUUUAAUCGGAGUCACAGCAGAAUCCAUGGUAAAUGCAAACAUGCUUGAGUUCCAAUGCUGUGCAAGAAGAGAGAAAAAGAAAGGACACCAAAAAAUGUAUUCUUCUCUUUGGAGUUAAAGAGAGGCCCACAUCCUGAGAGAUUCGCUGAGGACUCUUCUAUAAAUAUCGAGUGUAACCGCAUCUGCCUCUUCUGGAACUGGGAACAGUAAGCUUGUAUUUCAACAAGCUUUCCAGGAAUUUGAUAGUGGUGAUACAUUAACCGAUAAAUAAGAAGCCACGGGCACAGCCACUGUCCCUGAAGAAGCAUAAAAUUAAAAGCUUAAGGAAUUAUGGAAAAUUAUUAUUUCACUAAUGUUAAUGGGGAGGGUGGAGGGGAGCCAUCCUGUCCCCUCCACAUUGUAUGUGCUUUUUCCAGCUGAUGACCAAUGAGGGCUUCAUUUGCGACUUCCUUCCAUGUGAAGACCUCUGGAGGGGCCCGGAGGAAUAGUCAAAACAUUUAUCAGACUUGGCUUCUGCCCCCAAAAAGCCUGACCAGGGGAGCUUCUUCUAGUAUAUCCAUCAAAAGGAGUAAACCACUUGCAGAGCCAAGUGUUACCAUGGGGCCUUUGACUGCCCCACAGUAGAGAGUGAAGAGGGGCCUGGGGCUGGGGGGCAGGGAAGUUGAGGACGACAGUUGGUUUUGAGAGAAAGGUCAGGUAGGCAAGUCACUUGAACUGAGGUCUAAGUGAAAAGGAAGGAAAUGGGACCAACAGGUAACCUAUAAGAGACAGAGUCCUCUCAAAUACUUUUAUCUCAUCUGGUCCCCAGCCAGUGUUCUGGGUUGAUACUAACUUACCAGUUUUAUAACAAGGAAAUGGACACCAAGAGCCCAGAGGUCAAAAACUGCUGAGACUUGAACCCAGUUAUGGCAAGCACUUCCCGCUUGAUCAUGCUGUGUCUCUGGAAGCACAGAAGUUGAGAGCAUCAGAAAUACAAGGUCUCAGAGAUAAAAAGACAGAGCCUCUGGGGAAAAGCUAUCGGGGAGGGAGGAGGGUGGAUAGAGAAUCUCUCAGACAGGAAAGUGCCAGGUAGAAAAUACCCUUUGUAAGAAAGAGAAGGCAAAGAGGGGCAAGAUAUUAGGGUUUUUUAGUUGAUUUUUUGUUUUAUUUCUGGAUAUGUGUUAAUUUUUACCUAUAUCUUGUAAGGCCCUAUAAUAAGGACUUAAUUUUUAAAAAUUGCACAGUGGAAGUUAUCAUUUGGAAACCUUUUAUUGCUUGUCUUAUGUAUAUGGGCUCAAUAUACAGGCAAUUCUCCAUAAUGAGAGAUAAACCGACAACUUCAUUUUCAGCCUUGAGUUACAUCGUCUGCUCCAUCUUUUGUUGUUAUUGUUUGUUUGGUGUUUGGUUUUUGAUAGACAGAGAGUAC